rnacentral:rRNA from 1 species
GCUUGUCUCAAAGAUUAAGCCAUGCAUGUCUAAGUACAAGCCUCAGUAAGGUGAAACCGCGAAUGGCUCAUUAAAUCACACCUAAUCUACUGGAAAGUUACUAGUUACUUGGAUAACUGAGGUAAUUCUAGGGCUAAUACAUGCGCAAAGACCCGACUCUGAAGGGUUGUAUUUAUUAGAUUUAACCAAUAUAUGGUGAAUCAUAGUAACUGAUCGGAUCGUGCAAUUGCACGAUAAAUCAUUCAAGUUUCUGCCCUAUCAGCUUUCGAUGGUAGUGUAUUGGACUACCAUGGCAGUCACGGGUAACGGAGAAUUAGGGUUCGGUUCCGGAGAGGGAGCCUGAGAAACGGCUACCACAUCUAAGGAAGGCAGCAGG